GGUCCAUGAAUCAAUCUCUAAUAUAUGCAAUUUAUCUUUCCGAUUAAAAAAAAUUAAAAAGAAAAAUUUCAAGUGUUUUUUUGGCCAUGAAGAAAUCAAAACCUGUUUCAAUCAAUAUACUCUAUGAAAAGAAACCCCUUCUGGUGACGUGUCAGCACCUCCUUUUUUUGGCUUAUUUUAAUCUUUCUCCUCCUUUUCUCCUUCCCGCUCUUCCUUCUGUUUCCCUCUUUGUCCUUUUUUAUUUUAAAAUUUAAACUGUAAAGUCUGUCUCAAUUGGAGAGAGAAACAAUAAAAAAUUUGAGAAAUUCUAUUUCUAUUGUACUUCAGAUUUCCUAUCUCACUAAUCCAAACCCUAUCUUUGAUCACAAUCUCUUUUAUCACAAUCUGCAUCUUCUACACCCAUUCGAUUAGUUUCAUCUCCUCUCUUCAUGCUUAAAUUCUAUCUCUUUGAAGGCUUACUAUUUGACAAGAAAAUGAAAUUUCAUUCGUUGUUCUUCUUCCUUGGGGUCCUCACAUUUUCAUCAGGCUUGAUUUUUUAUGAUUUUACUGCCUUUUGUUCUUCUUCUCUGUUGUUCUUCGUCCUCCCUCUUGCAUGCAAGGUGUUUGAGACCCUUUCUCUUCUUCUGCCUCUCCCUCUUCCUCUCUAAGCAGCCAUCCAACUACUUGAUCUAAUCAUCCUCCAAGCACUCUACCUUGACUCUUCUCUGGAGUUUUGAUCUGAUGCAGGUCUCCACUAAAUCAAGGGUCUAGCAUUCCUGGAGUUUCAAUUUGUUGGAGGUUUCCACUAAUCAAGAGGCUAUGGAGCAACUGAAAUUAGUAGCAAGUUUUGAAAAUAGUCUUAACGAACCUGAUGCCCUUUUCGACAAGCGAGAUCCAGAGCACAAUAUGUUAGUAAGUUAACUCAUGUCCUGUUUUGUGUCAAUGCUUGCUAUUACAUAUGAUGCGCAUAUUUCAUUCUUGGUUGAGGGAUUGGAAAUGUUUUAAAAUAAGCUUGGCUUUGUUCACCACUUAAUGGAUAAAAUGUAUCUUCUAGGAAUAUGUCUUAGCCAUUGAGGAGAUCUUCAAAUGCAAAGUUACAAAUGUGAUGUUUAUGGGA